UACGUAGGGUGCGAGCGUUGAUCCGGAAUUACUGGGCGUAAAGCGUGCGCAGGCGGUGAUGUAAGACAGGUGUGAAAUCCCCGGGCUUAACCUGGGAACUGCAUUUGUGACUGCAUCGCUGGAGUGCGGCAGAGGGGGAUGGAAUUCCGCGUGUAGCAGUGAAAUGCGUAGAUAUGCGGAGGAACACCGAUGGCGAAGGCAAUCCCCUGGGCCUGCACUGACGCUCAUGCACGAAAAGCGUGGGGAGCAAACAGG
rnacentral:rRNA from 1 species